UACAGAGGGGCAAGCGUUGUUCGGAAUUACUGGGCGUAAAGGCGCGCGAGAGCGGCCCGCUAAGUCGAACGUGAAAUCCCCGAGCUCAACUCGGGAACUGCGUCCGAUACUGGCGGGCUUGAAUCCGGGAGAGGGAUGCGGAAUUCCAGGUGUAGCGGUGAAAUGCGUAGAUAUCUGGAGGAACACCGGUGGCGAAGGCGGCAUCCUGGACCGGUAUUGACGCUGAGGCGCGAAAGCCAGGGGAGCAAACGGG
rnacentral:rRNA from 1 species